GAUGAACGCUGGCGGCGUGCCUAAUACAUGCAAGUCGAGCGAACAGACGAGGAGCUUGCUCCUCUGACGUUAGCGGCGGACGGGUGAGUAACACGUGGAUAACCUACCUAUAAGACUGGGAUAACUUCGGGAAACCGGAGCUAAUACCGGAUAAUAUAUUGAACCGCAUGGUUCAAUAGUGAAAGACGGUUUUGCUGUCACUUAUAGAUGGAUCCGCGCCGCAUUAGCUAGUUGGUAAGGUAACGGCUUACCAAGGCAACGAUGCGUAGCCGACCUGAGAGAGUGAUCGGCCACACUGGAACUGAGACGCGGUCCAGACUCCUACGGGAGGCAGCAGUAGGGAAUCUUCCGCAAUGGGCGAAAGCCUGACGGAGCAACGCCGCGUGAGUGAUGAAGGUCUUCGGAUCGUAAAACUCUGUUAUUAGGGAAGAACAAAUGUGUAAGUAACUAUGCACGUCUUGACGGUACCUAAUCAGAAAGCCACGGCUAACUACGUG
rnacentral:rRNA from 1 species